rnacentral:tRNA from 1 species
CCCCGUGUGGCUCAGUUGGUAGAGCAUGGUGUUUGCAACGCCAGGGUUGUGGGUUCGAUUCACACGGGGG